rnacentral:rRNA from 1 species
GAUGAACGCUGGCGGCGUGCCUAAUACAUGCAAGUCGAGCGAAUGGAUUAAGAGCUUGCUCUUAUGAAGUUAGCGGCGGACGGGUGAGUAACACGUGGGUAACCUGCCCAUAAGACUGGGAUAACUCCGGGAAACCGGGGCUAAUACCGGAUAACAUUUUGAACCGCAUGGUUCGGAAUUGAAAGGCGGCUUCGGCUGUCACUUAUGGAUGGACCCGCGUCGCAUUAGCUAGUUGGUGAGGUAACGGCGCACCAAGGCAACGAUGCGUAGCCGACGUGGGAGGGUGAUCGGCCAAACUGGGACUGAGACCGGGCGCAGACUCCUACGGGAGGCAGCAGUAGGGAAUCUUCCGCAAUGGACGAAAGUCUGACGGAGCAACGCCGCGUGAGUGAUGAAGGCUUUCGGGUCGUAAAACUCUGUUGUUAGGGAAGAACAAGUGCUAGUUGAAUAAGCUGGCACCUUGACGGUACCUAACCAGAAAGCCACGGCUAACUACGUGCCAGCAGCCGCUGUAA